rnacentral:rRNA from 1 species
UACAGAGGUCUCAAGCGUUGUUCGGAUUUAUUGGGCGUAAAGGGCGCGUAGGCGGCGGGGUAAGUCGGGUGUGAAAUCUCAGGGCUCAACCCUGAAACUGCACUUGAUACUGCUCUGCUUGAGGACUGGAGAGGAGACUGGAAUUCACGGUGUAGCAGUGAAAUGCGUAGAUAUCGUGAGGAAGACCAGUGGCGAAGGCGGGUCUCUGGACAGUUCCGUGACGCUGA